GACGAACGCUGGCGGCGUUGCUUAACACAUGCAAGUCGAACGGUGACGAGGAGCUUGCUCCUCUGAUCAGUGGCGAACGGGUGAGUAACACGUGAGCAACCUGCCCCAGACUCUGGGAUAACAGUUGGAAACAGCUGCUAAUACCGGAUACGAGACGGAGAGGCAUCUCUACCGUCUGGAAAGUUUUCGGUCUGGGAUGGACUCGCGGCCUAUCAGCUAGUUGGUGAGGUAAUGGCUCACCAAGGCGACGACGGGUAGCCGGCCUGAGAGGGCGACCGGCCACACUGGGACUGAGACACGGCCCAGACUCCUACGGGAGGCAGCAGUGGGGAAUAUUGCACAAUGGGCGAAAGCCUGAUGCAGCGACGCCGCGUGAGGGAUGACGGCCUUCGGGUUGUAAACCUCUUUCAGCAGGGAAGAAGCGAAAGUGACGGUACCUGCAGAAGAAGCACCGGCUAACUACGUG
rnacentral:rRNA from 1 species